ACUAGUUGUGGUUGGGUAUUAAACUGUAGCAUUUUUUUUUCUUUCAGUUAUUACUCCCUUUAAAAUUCUUCAAGUGAGACAAAGCAGGUCUCAUUCUUUUCUUCCAGUUUAAUUACAUCAGCUGUAAUGCUUUACUAAUACAUCUGUCUUAUUCAGACAGAACUGCAGGUGUCACUAAAAAUCGUGAAGACAAUUCCAUUCUCUGGAAGACAAGACACUAACAAAAUCUGGGGAAGUGGUGAAGAAGAAUCCUUCUCCAGUUGCUGAGUGUGAUGAACCAAUGUUUCAGUUUUCUCCAAUCAAACAACUCCAAGCAAAUGACUUCAAUUUUCUUCAAUCUUUUGUAUUGUUCCAAAGCAAUGAAGUGUUGUAAGCAUCUGUCUUUUCCUACCAGAAAAGGCUUUACCCAGAGCUUUCCAACUUUCAUUUUUCACUUCAUCUGUAUUGGCUGAAGCCCAAAUUAAACAAGGAGGAGUUUGGCACUAUGCUGAAGGUUUUGAACGGCACUCACCACCUUUUCUUCCAUUGCUACAUUUACAGUAGCGAUCAGAAACACAAGGCUUUCUUUGUGUUUCUUUGCUACGAAUUCCUAUCAAACAGUGUUGCAGACAAAAUCAUUCUUGGCACUUAACUGCCAACAUUUCAUUAGCUGAUGCCUGUCAUAUUAUCACAGACUCAUUUCAGUCUCUCUUGUAAUGUCAUAUUGUACCCUUAACUGUGGUUUUUAUUACCUGUCUUCGAUACUUUUGUCUCUCAGCCAAAUAUCUCUUGAAGAAUUGAACAUAGUAAUCAGUGAUUGACUGCAUCAUCAGUAAACUUUACAGUUUGUUCUUCACCUUUUUCCUCUGCUGUACUAGAUGUUCAGUUUGAUAACCUUCUGC
rnacentral:lncRNA from 1 species